CUACGGGACGCUGCAGUGGGGAAUAUUGCGCAAUGGAGGCAACCCUGACGCAGCCAUGCCGCGUGCAGGAAGAAGGCCUUAUGGGUCGUAAACUGCUUUUAUUUAGGAAUAAACCCCCGAACGUGUUCGGGGCUGAAGGUACUAAACGAAUAAGCACCGGCUAACUCCGUGCCAGGAGCCGCGGUGAAUACGGAGGGUGCAAGCGUUAUCCGGAUUUAUUGGGUUUAAAGGGUGCGCAGGCGGGCUAUUAAGUCAGUGGUGAAAUCCCGGGGCUCAACUCCGGAACUGCCAUUGAUACUGAUAGUCUUGAGUUUGGUUGAAGUGGGCGGAAUGUAGCAUGUAGCGGUGAAAUGCAUAGAUAUGCUACAGAACACCAAUCGCGAAGGCAGCUCACUAAGCCAAAACUGACGCUCAUGCACGAAAGCGUGGGGAUCAAACAGGAUUAGAUACCCUCGUAGUC
rnacentral:rRNA from 1 species